UAUUGUCUCCAUUUUACAGAUAAAAAAAGUACCAUAUAGCCAUGCAGCUAGGAAAGAGUGGUGUCAGCAUCUGUCUCAAGGCUACCUGGCUCCAGAGUCUGUGCUGUUAACCAUUACCCACUGGGUCCACUCAUGUUGUUCUGCCAACUAUGCUGAUGGGAAGGGGUCAUCCAUGGAGAAGAGGAUGAAGGUGGUGGGAGGGGAAUAAGAUCAAGAGAACAAGUGGAGAGGUUAACCCUAGACACGGAGGAAUAUUGAAAUGGGAGGAAAAGAGGAUUGAAAGAAAAGUCCCUGGCUGAGAGUACACCAAGAAGUUGAUCUCCUGGUUGGGGGAGUAGAGAGGAGCAAUGAGUUCAUGUUCCCUUUUGCCCAAUGACUGUCUGAAAAUGACAAUUCAAUAUGUGGAUCCUUCUUGGAAGUAACAGAGCAUGCUGGCCAAAGAGUUACUGCAAAAAUGCUCCUAAAUCAAGUAAACAAGGAAAAGAACAGGAGCUGAUAAUGCUGUUGUUUGUUAAUGCUCUUAUUGUAAACUACUUUUUGGAAGAUAAACCUCUUGUGGGAAGGCCAGGUACUAUGCUCCUUCAUUGCCUUAGAUGAUCCAAGAGACUGAGUAAUCAAGAUGGAGCAAAGAGCAAGAAGAGUGUCUGCAAUACUUUUAACUUCACAAAGAAGUUACCAGGCAGAAGGGGACAAUUGCAGUGACUGAUUUUCCUGACAAAAUGACAGUGUCUUGACAAUGGCUAUGAAGUCUUGAUGACCCUUAACAUCUCAUAGAACAAAGAAGUCAGUAGAGCAAGGGGAAAAUGUUAAAGGAGGAAUACAAGAAACACAAAAGAAAGAUGACAGGGUGACAAGUUAAACAUAAUCCACGGAAUAAGAAACGUCAGAAGCCUCCUCCGCAGUACACCUACAAACACCUGCCCUUUUGUUAAUAGAUAAAAGAGAGCCUCUCACUGUAACUCCUUAACUUCCUUGGUGGAGGGAAAUCAGAUGGCUAGAAAGUGUGGUGGUGCCUGGUGUGAAAGACUUAACUGGGCAACACAUCCAGCAAGCUGUAUUUAACCUUCAUCAGUCUUUUAUUUGUACCCCCUAAAUCCUGGUUAUUGAAGUCUUCCAACUCCACCUCAUCUCUCCUUUUAUUGUCCCACUCAUAAAAUCUCAUAGGAGUAAAUAGAUUAGACAUAUUUACUGAUUAGGGCAGACAUAUUCCUCAUAUGUACUGAGGAAGAGUGAUAGGGGGAUCACCUUGGCCUGAAACCCUCUAUCAGGAGCCAAUUUUCAAGAAGAUAAGAAAAUAAUCAGCCACUUGUGAUCUUCUUUCCUUAAUUAUAUGAGAUCCUAUCCAAAUUUUCAAUCCACUGUCACUGACCUCUGAGGACCUUUGAUGCCUUUGACCUGGCUCUAGUGGAGUACCUUCCAUUCUUCCAAAUAGUCCCCCCAUUUGCCUUGGCCUUAAAUUCCACCAUGAAGAGGGAGUCUUUUAUUUUAAGCAUUUCUUUUUAUCUAAUAAUAAAAGAUAGAGGAAAUAAGAUAGUGGGAUUCGAAAUAACGUAACACAAAUUAAUUAUUCAUAUCAGUUUCUCUACUAGAGGAAAUGCAAUAGUUGAUUAAGGAUCAGAGGAAGGAAAAUCCUUCAAUGAAACAUUGAAAGAAAGCUGAAGAAUUUGUAGUGAGAGGAAACAAUUAUCUUAACAAACAUUUUUAUAUUAUAAUUCUUUUUCCCUUCUGGACAUCAGAUGCAGAUAAUUGAGU
rnacentral:lncRNA from 1 species